rnacentral:rRNA from 1 species
CAAGCGUGAGGUAAGGGCAUCUGGUGAAUGCCUUGGCAUGUACAGGCGAUGAAGGACGUGGCACGCUGCGAUAAGCGUGGGGGAGCCGUGAGCAGGCUUUGAUCCCGCGAUUUCCGAAUGGGAUAACCCACCUUCACCAUUUAAUCUCUGUCCUGAGCGAUCAGGAUGAGCGGUUAAAUGGUUGAGGUAUCACUAAGCUGAAUAAAAUAGGCUUUGGUGAAGCGAACCCGGAGAACUGAAACAUCUCAGUACCCGGAGGAAAAGACAUCAACCGAGAUUCCGUUAGUAGUGGCGAGCGAACGCGGACCAGGCCAGUGCCUGGAGUAUAGUUAGCAGAACGAUCUGGAAAGUUCGGCCAUAGCGGGUGACAGCCCCGUAUGCGAAAAUGAUACUUCAGGACUUGAGUAGGGCGGAGCACGUGAAACUCUGUCUGAACAUGGGGGGACCACCCUCCAAGCCUAAAUACUCGUACAUGACCGAUAGUGAACCAGUACCGUGAGGGAAAGGUGAAAAGCACCCCGAUGAGGGGAGUGAAACAGUACCUGAAACCGGAUGCCUACAAGCAGUGGGAGGGUCCUUGAGACCUGACCGCGUACCUCUUGCAUAAUGGGUCUGUGACUUAGUGUAUCAAGCAAGCUUAAGCCGUUAGGUGUAGGCGCAGCGAAAGCGAGUCUGAAUAGGGCGCCAUAGUUUGAUGCAUUAGACCCGAAACCCGGCGAUCUAUGCAUGACCAGGUUGAAGGUGCGGUAACACGCACUGGAGGACCGAACCGUUCAAUGUUGAAAAAUUGUCGGAUGAGUUGUGCUUAGGGGUGAAAGGCCAAUCAAGCCGGGAAAUAGCUGGUUCUCCGCGAAAUCUAUUGAGGUAGAGCGUCGAAUGAUUGCCGUUGGGGGUAGAGCACUGGAUGGAUGCGGGGGUCGCGAGAUCUACCAACUCUAACCAAACUCCGAAUACCAACGAGUCUAGUUCGGCAGACAGACGGCGGGUGCUAAGGUCCGUCGUCAAAAGGGAAACAGCCCUAACCUACAGCUAAGGUCCCCAAGUCAUCACUAAGUGGGAAAGCAUGUGGGAUUUCCAAAACAACCAGGAGGUUGGCUUAGAAGCAGCCAUCCUUUAAAGAAAGCGUAACAGCUCACUGGUCUAAAUAAGAGAUCCUGCGGCGAAGAUGUAACGGGGCUAAAGUGAUGCACCGAAGCUUAGGGUUCAGAUCUUUGAUCUGAGCGGUAGCGGAGCGUUCCGUAGGCCGUUGAAGCGAUCUGGUAAUGGGUCGUGGAGGUAUCGGAAGUGCGAAUGCAGACAUGAGUAGCGAUUAACAGUGUGAGAUGCACUGUCGCCGAAAUUCCAAGGGUUCCUGCUUAAAGCUAAUCUGAGCAGGGUAAGCCGGCCCCUAAGACGAGCCCGAAGGGGGUAGUCGAUGGGAACCACGUUAAUAUUCGUGGGCCUGGUGGUGUGUGACGGAUGCCGUAAAUUGUUCGGGCUUAUUGGAUUGCUCCGGGCAGUGAAGGGGUCCCAGGAAAUAGCCCCACCGUAUAGACCGUACCCUAAACCGACACAGGUGGAAUGGUAGAGUAUACCAAGGCGUUUGAGAGAAGUAUCCUGAAGGAACUCGGCAAAUUGCCUCCGUACCUUCGGAAGAAGGAGGCCCCAUCUAAACGCAAGUUCUGAUGGGGGGCACAGGCCAGGGGGUAGCGACUGUUUAGCAAAAACACAGGGCUCUGCUAAGUCGGCUUCAAGACGACGUAUAGGGCCUGACGCCUGCCCGGUGCCUGAAGGUUAAGAGGAGGAGUGCAAGCUCUGAAUUGAAGCCCAGGUAAACGGCGGCCGUAACUAUAACGGUCCUAAGGUAGCGAAAUUCCUUGUCGGGUAAGUUCCGACCUGCACGAAUGGCGUAACGACUUCCCCACUGUCUCCAGGAUAUGCUCAGCGAAAUUG